AUAUACAGUAUAGUUUUUGUUUUAUAGAUGUACUUUGAAAAAAUUAAGAUAGUAUUUGUUUCAUAUAUUGGAACAGUAUAUUGCUAUUCAUUUACUAGUCAAAAUGACUAAGAUUUAUCAUAGCUUUUAUCAAAAUGAAUCUAUCAAUUAUUGCUUUUUAAAUUUGUAGUGGUUAUCAUUUUUGUUUUUUAAAUGGCCCAGGGUAUAAUCAAUAAUAUGUGAUUCAUCUAGUCUGUAUUUUUAUACCAGUAAUUUGUACAAUAAAUCUAAGCAACUG
rnacentral:misc_RNA from 1 species